GAUUAACGCUAGCGGCAGGCCUAAUACAUGCAAGUCGAGGGGCAGCAGGGUGUAGCAAUACAUCGCUGGCGACCGGCGCACGGGUGCGUAACACGUAUGCAACCUACCUUUAACUGGGGAAUAGCCCUCCGAAAGGAGGAUUAACACCGCAUAACAUCACGAGACGGCAUCGCCUUGUGAUCAAACCUCCGGGGGUUAAAGAUGGGCAUGCGUCCGAUUAGCUAGUUGGCGGGGUAACGGCCCACCAAGGCGACGAUCGGUAGGGGGUCUGAGAGGAUGAUCCCCCACACUGGUACUGAGACACGGACCAGACUCCUACGGGAGGCAGCAGUAAGGAAUAUUGGACAAUGGUCGCAAGACUGAUCCAGCCAUGCCGCGUGCAGGAUGAACGAUCUAUGAUCUGUAAACUGCUUUUGUUCGGGAAUAAACCCCUUACGUGUGGAGGGCUGAAUGUACCGAAAGAAUAAGGGUCGGCUAACUUCGUGCCAGCAGCCG
rnacentral:rRNA from 1 species